UACGUAGGGUGCGAGCGUUAAUCGGAAUUACUGGGCGUAAAGCGUGCGCAGGCGGUUUUGUAAGCCAGAUGUGAAAUCCCCGGGCUCAACCUGGGAAUGGCAUUUGGGACUGCAAGGCUCGAGUGCGGCAGAGGAGACUGGAAUUCCUGGUGUAGCAGUGAAAUGCGUAGAUAUCAGGAGGAACACCAAAGGCGAAAGCGCUCUGCUGGGCCGAAACUGACACUGAGAGACGAAAGCUAGGGGAGCGAAUGGG
rnacentral:rRNA from 1 species